rnacentral:lncRNA from 1 species
GACUCAGGGUGGGGUCGGACCCCAGGAAACUAUUUUAACAAGCUCACUAGGUGGUUCUUAUGAAUGUUAGAGUUUGCGAACCACAGUUCUCACCCAGGUGGAGCUUAGCUCCCUUUACAGGAAGUUUCGUGUGAAACUUAGCUUCCUUUGGGCUGUUCCUGCCUGAGAAAUAUGGUAGGAGCAGCAAGAAAUUUUCCCAGCCACUAAUGCCUAAAGUAUUUGUUCACUGAAGCUCUGCAUGUUUUAAGUGAUGGAAAGACUCAUCUAAUCCCCAUGUUGGGUGCACCUGCUUAGAUCUGAGGAAGCCCCAGCCAAAGAAACUGAGAGGAGAGACCAGAGAAAGGAGGAGGACCAGGAGCCUGUGGUGUCAGAGGCUGGGUGAAGAGCAUUUUCAGGAGGAAGCUGACUAGGUCUUGUACUGGACAUGGAGGACACACGAUCACUUCAAAGAGACAUCACAGGCCAGCACUGCUCCAGGUGCAGGAGAAAUUGGAAUGAACUGAAAUGACAAAAACCGUGCCCCCAUGCUCUGUACACUCUACUGGGGAAAACAAGCAUUAAACAAGUGGAAUACUGAAUAGUAUCGGAAGUUUGCAAACUACGGCUACAACCACAUGGAUGAAUCUCACAAAUGCGAUGUUCAGUGAAACAAGCCGGACGUAAAGAUUUUCCUCAAAACAUGGAACGUCAUAAAAUCAGGAAAAUCUUAAGUGUCUAUGGUGUUAGAAGUCAGGACAAGAGUUACCUUUGGAGAAGAGGGAAUGAGUAGAUGUAGGGAGGGCACAAGAAGGGCUUCUGGGUUGCUGGUAGUGUGUGUGUGUGUUUACACCUCAAUGAUGGUUAUACAAAUAAAAAAUACAUAUACAUUUUGGAUAAUUCACUGAGCUGCACACCUACGAUUUGUGCGAUUUUUUGGUCUGUGUAUUUCACUUCAAUUAAAAACCAAGACUGCCGCCUUUCACCCUCCCUUGAGAAGUGACUCUUGAAUUUAAUUUCAAGUUCACCAAUCGUUUGCUGCAGCCUUUAGUUAUUUUUAUUUGCCAGACAUUUUGUGAAGAUUUUCACCUCUUCAUUGGUGUUUUUGUGUUUUACUUUAGUGACUUAGUUCUUGUUGUCUUAAUUCUUUUCUGUCUUCUUUCUAAUAUAUAACCUCUCAGUCCACCAGUGAUCCAGCCACAUCCAAUGGCUGGCCCCUCACCUGCCAGGAGGUUGGGGCUUGUUUUCUAACUCUCGGCCCACACAGGGGGUUGGAGGGGACAAGCAAAUGCUAGUGCACGGCACUCUUUUUUAUUUUUUUAAAGAUUGGCACCUGUGCUAACAUCUGUUGCCAAUCUUUUUUUUUUCUUCUUCCUCUUCUCCCCAAAG